GUGCUUUAGCAGCACAUACACUAAAAAUAUUGGAAUGAUACAGAGAAGAUUAGCAUGGCCCAUGCACAAGAAUGACAUGCAAAUUCACGAAGCAUCCCAUAUUAAA
ensembl:snRNA U6 U6 spliceosomal RNA